UAUUCCACUAGCAAACAAAAGCCAUAAAGUUAUAGUGUCAACAGCAUUUAAAUCUUCAUUAAUUCCCUAACUAACAACUACUUACAAAAGACCCCAUAUCUAUUGUCUUCUCCAUGCCAUGGCAGCACCAUACAAUAAUCAAAAUCAGCCUUGGCAUACAAAUUCUUCCGUUAAUCUUCAUUUCGAGGCACAUAAAAAUGGCUAAUAAUAAUAAUAAUAUUACUACAAAGGAUGCAGCUCUGAGGACAAGUCUAGUAUGGUUAGCAGGAGUAAUGUUGGUGGUCGGAAUAUGCACACAAUCAUUCAAGAAAGUAAUGCUCACUUAUGGAGUUGGUGUUGUUGCCGUUGCUGGGGUUCUUUUGCCUGACUGGGAUUAUUUCGAUAGACAAUUCUCUCGAUGGUCUUCUCCCAUUACUCAACAAGACAAAGCUGCUCUUGCUCACACAUCUGCCUUCAGGUACAAACAAUUGCUAUAAAUCUCUGGGAGAAGUUGAAUUAAUAAAAUUUGAAGUUCGCAAUGAAUCUAGAAAUACCGUGCAUUUGCUUUGAGCUCUUGUUGCACGUGGUGUUUCAUCCGGGGGAGGAGGAACACCAAACACCCAGUCAAGAACAUUAAGCUCUUGGAAUGAGGUAAAUACCCUGCAUCAGCGAUACAUGUAAAGAAGCUCUCAAUUGCCCGUGCAAGGCAAUACAGCGAUAUUUCCAUCCGCCUGCUUUUCUUCUCGAUUGCUAAGGCUAAACCCGUCGGGAACUGAGCAAAAUACAAGUGCCGUAUUAAAAACACAAAAUCUUUAUUAGCUAUCGAUUUCAGUAUAUAGUUUAAGAUGCUAUACCGUCCCCAUUGCCACCAUUGGAAUGUUGCAUCUCCGGAAAAUUCUAAAGAGCACGCAUGUCCACAUCCUGAUGAACAGAAAAGAUUUUGUAGUUACACAUCAUUAUCCUCAAAAGUUUAUUUAUAUAUAACACUGCGACUUGCAACAAUAUUUAUAUUUUCAUGAAAAAGAGUAGAAAAGUUUGAUAUCAUCACUAACCAGGCAGAAGAGCAGUAAGCAGACAGAAACAAGCUUGACCUUGCAGUGCCAAGAAGACCCUUCCCUAGUAUGCUGUAGCGCCUGCACAAGGUUGAACAUAACAAGAAGAUAAAAAUAGGAUCAUUCAUGUGUAAUUACUGAUAAACUGAUAAUAUUACAGAAUUCAUCUCAA